rnacentral:lncRNA from 1 species
AAUUAACAUAGAAAAUAAGUGUAAAUUAUAUAAAUAAACGUAUGACUAUCCUAAGACCAUCAUAAGUCACCUCUCGUGUAGUCCUAACUUUAUGACCAACUUUAAGAGAUGUCCUAAGUUAGGACCACUUUGUGAAACCCACUUAGGACUAAGAUAUGUCAUAAGACCAUCCUAAGAUAUGUCUUAGUCCUAAGACAGCUUCGUGAAACUGGCCCCA